GGAAGUAAGAGUCGUAACAAGGUCUCCGUUGGUGAACCAGCGGAGGGAUCAUUACUGGAAUCGCAAGAUCCCACAACCCUGUGAACCUACCGAAACGUUGCCUCGGCGGGUGCCCGGCCUCUGCGCCGGGCGCUGCGCCCGCCGGCGGCCCCCUACUCUGUCUCUGCAGCGUGGCAUCUCAGAGUCCCAGAAAACAAGUCAAAACUUUCAACAACGGAUCUCUUGGCUCUA
rnacentral:misc_RNA from 1 species